rnacentral:rRNA from 1 species
AGUGAACGCUGGCGGUAUGCCUAAUACAUGCAAGUCGAACGGCAACACGGGAAGAUCGUUCUCUUACCGUUGGCGGCUGACGGGCGGGUGACGAAUACAUCACAAUCUUCUAUGUCUGGGAUGACAACGGAAAGAAGCUGACGCUAAUAGCUCAUAUAACCUACGGCAUAGAUCAAUAGAGCUUGACAGCUUUCGCGUUUCAUUUAGCUGGUUUCGGGUCGGAUUAGCUAGUUGGUAAGGUAACGGCCUACCAAGGCGACGAUGCGUAGCCGAUCUGAGAGGAUGAUCAGCCACACUGGAACUGAGACACGGUCCAGACUCCUACGGGAGGCAGCAGUGGGGAAUCUUGCGCAAUGGGCGAAAGCUUGAUGGAGCAAUACCGCGUGAGUGAAGAAGGCCUUCGGAUUGUAAAGCCCUUUUGUUAGGAAAGAAAAAAAGUAGAUGAAACCACCGAUGUCUUGACGGUACCUAAACAGUAAGCCCCGGCUAACUUCGUG